rnacentral:tRNA from 4 species
GCCGGUAUAGCUCAGCUGGUAGAGCGGCGCAUUCGUAAUGCGUAGGUCGCAGGUUCAAAUCCUGUUGCCGGCUCCA